GGGGCCGACUUGGCUUCGACGGGAAAGCGUGAUGUUAGGUUGCAUGUCGGCGUGGGAACAGCCGUAAAACUACCCGCAAAAUAUAAACGCAAAUAACGCAAGUUAUCGUCCCGCUUACGCUUUAGCGGCGUAAAGGACAGGCUCUUAAGUUUUGCCGCGCGACUUAAGACGCCUUCAACCAAUAGCGGCUUUGGCGCGAUUGCGGCAUAUUCGCGUCGAGAUUAGCCUGCGUCUUUGGAAGGGUUUGCCCCGCUGUUUCUCCAAAGGUAAAGAUACACAACGGGAACUAAACAUGUAGACGCCUAAGGUUUUGCUUUUUUGGACAGGGGUUCGAUCCCCCUCGGCUCCACCA
rnacentral:tmRNA from 1 species